GAAGAGGAGGCCACUCUUCCCCCAACAGUUGCCUUCAGGGAUUUUGAAAGUCCAGCAGGUGUCAGUGGUCAGCGACACAGUAUCAACAGAGUGUGUCAUUGUGUCAACACGUUUCAUGACGCCCAUCACUAAGACAGGAAGGAGUUCUUUGAAUUGCCAUUGUAAGAGUACAGUCCGUGUUGUGAUGAGGUGACUUAUGUUUGUUUGCAAAACACUGUCUCUCGUGGCCAAAACUAUUCACAGCCUUGAAACGCCUCAGCACACUGUGUUGUUUGGGAAGCAACAUCACAGUGAUAUUUAUUUUUUAAAAA